GUGCUCACUUCAGCAGCACAAAUACUAAAAUUGGAAUGAUAUAGAGAAGACUAGUAUGGCCCCUGCACAAGGAUGGCACACAUAAGGUAUAUAGAACAACACAUAGAU